AAAAUGGCCCUUUUGAGGGCCCACAAAUGCAUUUCAUAAAGAGUUUU
rfam:Phlebotomus papatasi Contig5119.3, whole genome shotgun sequence.